UGAGGAACAUGACUUUCGGCGGGGGAGUAGCCGGCCCAACGGCCGGGUAAUACCGCGUACGACCUCUCGGGGACAUCCCCGGUUGGUGAAAGCAGCAAUGCACCGAAAGAGUGCCUCGCGGCCUAUCAGCUAGUUGGUGGGGUAACGGCUCACCAAGGCGACGACGGGUAGCUGGUCUGAGAGGAUGGCCAGCCACAUUGGGACUGAGACACGGCCCAGACCUCCGUACGGGGAGGCAG
rnacentral:rRNA from 1 species